rnacentral:lncRNA from 1 species
GGCCAGGUAAGCACCACCCCCUGCUCCCUCUCUCUCCUCUCUCCCUAUUCUCUCUCUCAGCCCGUUUUUCUUUCUCCCCCCUUUUCUCUUCUCCCCUUUCUUAACCACUAGCGAUAAAUUUUUUUCGGCGACCGUCCCAUCGUUGGCGCCGCUCCUUCUUUCUUCUUCUCUGUAGUUCCGGGUGUAGUCCCAACUCCCAACCCCUCUUUUUUGGUGCUCCUUCUUCUAUAUACCUUUCUCUGCCGCUGUUUCUUCGCGCCGCCGCUGUUCUCUGGUGACACCAGAUUGGUCUGGCGACUUCAAGUGGUUCAUCACCAGAUUCGUGUUUCUCUACCGCUGGUGACGGUGACAAUCGGUCCUCCUAUAGUUUUCUUGGUUUCGUGGUAUUUGUGUGUUUUGCAGGUAUCAAUUUUGUGACUGCUUGCUGACGGUAGGGAGGUGCAUACGUAGAAGCAGCAGAGCAGUUGCUAUAUGUCGGGUUCCACAGCAUCGGGAGUAUACCAAGUCGAAAGUCCAGGUUCUAUUCGUGGGAAUUGGUACCUCCCGCCUCCCAUUUCUCUGUCUCAUGUGUUAGUUAAUUUGUUGCCGUAGUAAUUCGUACUAGUCUAUUCAGUCUAGUAGUGGGCCUGUAGUUACUAUUUAUUCCCGUCGAGUCUCUUGUUUGUGUGUUCCCUUUGUUCUUCUGUGUUGGCAUUUUUUUCCUAGACUUCUAUAGGUAUAGCGGCUAUGGUUUGUAAUGGCAGAGUAGGGUCAUGUCCUCGGGAAGGGAGGGCGGUGGGGAGGGGCGUAGGGCAAGAGUAAGAGGGUGGGACGGGAACCAAAGGGGGUCAGGGGAACAAGGGCACUUGUAGGUUGAGAAUUGGAUUGUGGAAUAUAGGGACAUUGACAGGUAAGUCUAUAGAGCUGGAGAAGAUUCAUCAGAAGAGGAAGGUCAAUAUAGCGUGUGUGUAGGAGACUAGGGGGGUAGGAUCAAAGGAGAGGAAUGCAAACGGGUUUAAAUUGUGGUACUCUAGAGGUGUGAAGGGCAAAAACGGAGUGGGUAUUUUGGUGGAUAUGAAGCUUAGAGAGUUAGUGGUAGAGAUUAGGCGGGUGAAUGACAGAUUGAUGGCGAUUAAGUUAGUAGUUGGAGGGAGCACUCUGAAUGUCAUUAGCUCUUACGCGCCGCAGGUGGGCUUGGACGAGGAGGUUAAAAGACACUUCUGGGUGGCGCUGGAUGAGGUGUUGCGGGGUAUUCCUGAAAGUACAAGAGGGGGGGGGGAAUGGUUUAUUUUCAAACUUAAUUGCUGUUAGUUGACUAGUUAUACGAUUAGUCGACUGGAUAUAAGAACUUGAUACUAGUAAAGACAGAAUUUAAGAUGCAGAAUUUAAAUGCAUGAAUUAAAAACACCAGAGUUUUUAUACUGGUUCGGAUUCAAUGUGAAUCCUAGUCCAGUCCCCUUGGGUUGCAAAGGAGUACCUUUUCAUGAAUGAGUUUCUUCGAGAGUACAGAGAAUGGUGUGAUCUACACCGAUCGCUUAGACCUUAUUUCACUCGUUUCUUUUUUAUACAAUGCCUCACCAGUGUUGUUCUCUCUUUCUUCUCUAACUUGUAACACAACAGAUCUAGUAGAGCUACAAUGUUUGUUUAUAGUAGAAUAAAGAGAGGGUAUUUUGGUUCGAUCAAAGUAUAUCGUUCUAGAGUACAGUUACAGGUUUAAAUACUUUGAGAGAGGCUUGGUUUCUACAUAGAUUUGUCAACCCAAGAAAUUUGAUCCUUGGAGAGAAAUUGAUUCUUUCCAAGAAGAAGGUCAUACAACAACGAUUAUGAUUACGAGAUCCUUAAUUGAUGUUCCAUAUAUGCUUCCCAAGAUCUUGCACCUUCCGGAUUGGGUACGCUUGACUUGAUUGAUUCCUUAAGAUUACGCUUGAUUGAUUCCGUCUUAAUCCAGGAUUGCUUCUCUUGAUUCCUUCCAUCUCGUAGUUGUCCAUUGAUUUCGUGAUUUUUGCUAAUCUCGGAUUGCUUUCCUUAAGUUCCCCGAUUAAUUGCUUCCAUCUCGUAGUUGCUCCUUGAUUCCUUGAUCUUCUCUAAUUGAUUCCUUCAAUUGCUAUCCAUGAGUUCCUGCACAGAUAUAUUAUUUGCAUCAUUAAAAUCAAAUAUAGCAAUCUCCCCCUUUUUGAUGAUGACAAAAUAAUAUAUAUGUAUAAACAACAGUUGACUUCCCUAUGUUUACUUCCCCUCAAUGUAUGCAGUUGACUGGUCCAUGGUUAUAGAUGUUGCAGUCGACUCCUGCUGCAGAGGAUGCUAACGUAUACUUACCCUUUAGUCGACUAACUUUCUAUACCUGUGUAGAUAUACUUGUGUAGAUACAUACAUAUAUCCUUCUCCCCCUUUUUGGCAUCAACAAAGAGGGAACUAAAACAUGAACUAGAAUAAGUUAUAUAGCAUUGUGCAGCAGAGUUAUAGUCCUAAAAACAACCAGAACAAAACAAGAAAUAGAAAUUGUCCAACGGCUGAUUUAACAGUCCAAAAAUAACACAUCAAAAAAAUUGUCUUAAGCAACCACAUUAACGAUGCAGAAAGUAGGUAAGAGUAUUGCAGAUGGACUCCUUCAGUUGUUCAAAGCUGGCAUGGCUGAGAUGCUCGUUCCAUAAAACCUGUCAUGAAUCUCCUUGAAAGACUUGACAGCGUUCUCCCUUACUCUGAGAACGACAACUCUUAUCUUGGACACAUCAGACCCUUUUUCUUUGGAGAUGGCAUGAAUGUCACCAACAAUUGACUGAGUGGUUGUGAGGAGAUCUUUAAUUUCAGAGACUUGAAUGUCAAUGACCCAAAACUUCUCACCAAGAUCAGGAUCACCAGGAUUAGGAUGAGCGACAGAAGGUUUGGGUUUGGGAUCUAUUGGAGCAUGCUUUACAUCACCUUCGUUCUUCUUAACCCAUGAUCCUUUCACACUCACAUAUCCCAUACUAACAAAGGCUCUAGAAUUGUAAGAUUUUGAAACACUGAUAAAGGGAUAAGCAAACAGGGAAAUUUGAUGAGCUUUCAGUAUGUGAGUGAUGGCCAUAUUGUUUACCAUGAAAAUGAUAAUAACAAUUAAAUUUGUUGAUGGGACUCUAAAAAUACGUGACCUAUUUUUAUGCUAGUUGUUAAGCAGUUGAUGCUAGGUAUGUCAAGUUUAAAAGACGAAACGCAAACUAAAGUAGAGUUAUAACCAAACCGGGGAGUUGGCUAUUCAGGCCUCGGACUGACUGAUGAGGGGCCUCGAGGUCGAUGUCUGGGCUCGGGCUCGAGAUAUUGGGGAUAAUUGGGAAAUGGCUAACAGUUAGGAUAUGAUUAAGGGAGGCUCUUUAUGGCCAACGACAAGCAAUAAAUGAAGAACCAGUAUGAAGUCAACAAAUAAGCGCAAUAAUAUCGAAGAAAUAUGUUAAGAGAGAAAAGAGAGAGAGAGAGAGAGAGUUGUUAUUUAUCUUAUGUAUAAUAGUUGGAGCAACAACAACCCUUUACAAAAUGGCAAUGAUCUCCUUUAUAUAGGAGGGGAAUCCCAACAUAGUACAAAAUGCAUUAAUUAUAAAGGUAUGGAGAUGGGACGGCUAGACGUGACACCACGCUCUGCCAGUGCUAUCUGCUCGCCUUAGGAACUCCCCAUCGCCGACAUCGCCGUUGGGUCAGGCGUAAAUGGACAUCGAAGGAGAGAACUCGACCACAACCUCGCAGCCUCGAGAUGACUUCCCGAAACACCUUAAUGACAAGGAAUUGGACCCUCCGAUUUCACCGUAUACAGAUAGUCUCCGCAUUUACUGGAACGAAGUAAUAGGAAACAAUUUUGAGUCGUCGUUCCGAGGGCAUCAUUGCCAUGACGUCAACCUAUAAGAGCAUUAAAUGCCAUUCCCCAGAAAACCGUGCAAGGGUCGCCAUCAAAUGCGAUUAUUGAGGAACCCACGAAAUGAUAUUGGCUCAUCAUUUCCGCUUCCCAAGCGAUUUCUAUAAAUAUAUCGACUAUUUGACAAUCCUUAUCUUCGUUGCGUCUUCAAAUUCACGAGUCCAUACCCAUCUUCUUGUACACUCUUCUAUCUCGCUUUCUGAGAGGAAACUUUACCAUUGCUAUGGCAGGACUUCUAGAACGAUUCUCGGCGGAAUGAAGCUGUAUCUUCAUCUCAUUCGUCUAAGGAGAAAGCCAAUGCGAUAACCACCUUGGAACCGUGCACUCCUUCCAAGCUUGAUAUGUCAAAAGAUUUUACCGUUGAUAUCACUUUAUCCAUGUCGGGCCGAUGUGAACAUGUGUCCCGAUACAUUAGUGUCGUGACCAACAUAAAAGUGGUAAGGAUAGACUGCUAAUGGAGCGAGACAGUUGAGGUGGAAAUUCCCGGCCCUGAUGAAAAUAUAACGGACUAUAAGGUCGGCUUCCUUCAUGCGUAUACCUAACCGUUCACCUUGGGUCCUGCUGAUUCCUCUGAAUCCUCCCCCCCGGAAAUAGAUCCGGUUAUCCUUGAUUUUUGUGACAAAUAUCAAGUGACGCUCAGUCAGAUCUAUCCUUCUGUUUGGAGGAUAGUAUUGAUGGUCCAUCAUUUUACUGAAAGGGUUAUGGGCGAGACUUUUACCCUCAACCAUUUGAUUAGGUUGUACAUCCCUCAAUUUUAUCGAGGUUUGAUCAGGCUCCAUAAUCGAUCCAGAAAAUCAUUUUUCUUGAGCACAGACGAGGGGAAGGAUCGGGGGUGGAUAAGUAGGUUCAUUCGAAUAAGGGCCUCGGACAUCAUUCCAUCCCUGAGGAUGCCUUUCCCAGAGAAAUGGAACACACAGCGUAAGCGGUUUUCCCUUAACCAUUUUUUAUAAAUUUCUUCCCUUUCCCCCGAAAUAAUGACUUCUUUGCCGUUUCACGCAACCAUCGUUUGGUACCCCAAGGCGAUUUCUGAUUUACUGGGGUGGAUCAAAUGAUUAGACACUGCGUUCCCGUACCAUGUCCGGUCUUGGACCGACCUGGACAAGGAGAGAUGGGUGUCCAAGAAUCAUGGUAAAGCUUCUGUGCCAUCUAUAUCUUAGAUUUGCAUUUCUCCCCGCGUCCCUUGCACUGAAAAAUUGUGAUUAUCGCGCUUGUGCAGGCCUCAGUGAGAAUAUGGAGAUGAGGCCACCCCCUGGUAGUGAAACGAAGGCUUUGGAGCCCGGCAAAGGGCAAGAAGAGGGAAGGUAAGGCGGCUGCUGAUCCUCCUAUGGCAAAGAAACCCAGAUCACUCGAGCAUCAAAUCGCUACUAGGACCUCUGCUUCAACUUUAGGGGAAAAUCCCGGCAUUGAGGAUGAGGAUGACAAUGAAUGCCAGUUAGCAUGGAGGACAAGGUCGAGUGCGGGAGCCUCGUAGGUGCCUCGAACGGAGGCUAAUGAGUUUGGAACGACUGACUUAGGUCGGUCCCAUAGACCGAAGACCCUUGAGGAGGGUGUUAACGUGACCUAGGAUCGCAUGAUCGGGUUUGGCGUAGUUUCCGUUAGAGGGACCGUUGCUAUCGAUCCUGAAGAAUCGGGGCCCAGAGCUUUUCAGGAGCAGGGGUUGCCUCUUGGGGAAAUAGGUGACAUGAUUUUCAUCUCAUGCUUUCAGGUCUCGUCAGGGGAACUGAGGGACUCUCCAAAAGCGAACGCCGUCAAAGUGGGGAUUCCUCUCAAAGUGGGAGGCUCACUUGCCAACAUCUUUGAUGGUAUUAGCGAUAGCGUAGGUCUUGACGUUCCUGCCGCCGUCAAAGAGGCGGAGAGAUUCAUGUCGUAGGUGAUAUCUAUCUUUCGUAUAUUUCUUUUAGUCUUGGGCAUCAUUCUUCAUUUUUCUAACUCUUCCGCUAUGUCACAGUGCAAGGAUAUGUAUGAUCAUGCCUUCUUUCGGCUCCGCGAGGAGCUUUCUUAUCGUGAAAAGGAGUGUAAGAAGCUUACCUCGAACCUGCAGGAUUCAGAGGCUCACUCUGCCCG